UGCAUAUUCCAAUAAGCGGAGGAAAAGAAACUAACAAGGAUUCCCCUAGUAGCGGCGAGCGAAGCGGGAAGAGCUCAAAUUUAUAAUCUGGCACCUUCGGUGUCCGAGUUGUAAUCUCUAGAAAUGUUUUCCGCGUUGGACCGCACACAAGUCUGUUGGAAUACAGCGGCAUAGUGGUGAGACCCCCGUAUAUGGUGCGGACGCCCAGCGCUUUGUGAUACAUUUUCGAAGAGUCGAGUUGUUUGGGAAUGCAGCUCAAAUUGGGUGGUAAAUUCCAUCUAAAGCUAAAUAUUGGCGAGAGACCGAUAGCGAACAAGUACCGUGAGGGAAAGAUGAAAAGCACUUUGGAAAGAGAGUUAACAGUACGUGAAAUUGUUGGAAGGGAAACGCUUGAAGUCAGACUUGCUUGCCGAGCAAUCGGUUUGCAGGCCAGCAUCAGUUUUCCGGGAUGGAUAAUGGUAGAGAGAAGGUAGCAGUUUCGGCUGUGUUAUAGCUCUCUGCUGGAUACAUCUUGGGGGACUGAGGAACGCAGUGUGCCUUUGGCGGGGGUUUCGACC
rnacentral:rRNA from 1 species